rnacentral:rRNA from 1 species
GGGUUGUGAGGUUAAGCGACUAAGCGUACACGGUGGAUGCCCUGGCAGUCAGAGGCGAUGAAGGACGUGCUAAUCUGCGAAAAGCGUCGGUAAGGUGAUAUGAACCGUUAUAGCCGGCGAUGUCCGAAUGGGGAAACCCAGUGCAAUUCGUUGCACUAUCGUUAACUGAAUACAUAGGCAAACGAGGCGAACCGGGGGAACUGAAACAUCUAAGUACCCCGAGGAAAAGAAAUCAACCGAGAUUCCCCCAGUAGCGGCGAGCGAACGGGGAGCAGCCCGGAGUCUGAAUCAGCUUGUGUGUUAGUGGAAGCGUCUGGAAAGUCGCAGGGUACAGGGUGAUACUCCCGUACACUAAAACGCACAGGCUGUGAACUCGAAGAGUAGGGCGGGACACGUGGUAUCCUGUCUGAAUAUGGGGGGACCAUCCUCCAAGGCUAAAUACUCCUGACUGACCGAUAGUGAACCAGUACCGUGAGGGAAAGGCGAAAAGAACCCCGGCGAGGGGAGUGAAAAAGAACCUGAAACCGUGUACGUACAAGCAGUAGGAGCCUCUUUAUGGGGUGACUGCGUACCUUUUGUAUAAUGGGUCAGCGACUUAUAUUCUGUAGCAAGGUUAACCGUAUAGGGGAGCCGCAGGGAAACCGAGUCUUAACUGGGCGUUAAGUUGCAGGGUAUAGACCCGAAACCCGGUGAUCUAGCCAUGGGCAGGUUGAAGGUUGGGUAACACUAACUGGAGGACCGAACCGACUAAUGUUGAAAAAUUAGCGGAUGACUUGUGGCUGGGGGUGAAAGGCCAAUCAAACCGGGAGAUAGCUGGUUCUCCCCGAAAGCUAUUUAGGUAGCGCCUCGUGAACUCAUCUUCGGGGGUAGAGCACUGUUUCGGCUAGGGGGUCAUCCCGACUUACCAACCCGAUGCAAACUACGAAUACCGAAGAAUGUUAUCACGGGAGACACACGGCGGGUGCUAACGUCCGUCGUGAAGAGGGAAACAACCCAGACCGCCAGCUAAGGUCCCAAAGUCAUGGUUAAGUGGGAAACGAUGUGGGAAGGCCCAGACAGCCAGGAUGUUGGCUUAGAAGCAGCCAUCAUUUAAAGAAAGCGUAAUAGCUCACUGGUCGAGUCGGCCUGCGCGGAAGAUGUAACGGGGCUAAACCAUGCACCGAAGCUGCGGCAGCGACACUAUGUGUUGUUGGGUAGGGGAGCGUUCUGUAAGCCGUUGAAGGUGGCCUGUGAGGGUUGCUGGAGGUAUCAGAAGUGCGAAUGCUGACAUAAGUAACGAUAAUGCGGGUGAAAAACCCGCACGCCGGAAGACCAAGGGUUCCUGUCCAACGUUAAUCGGGGCAGGGUGAGUCGACCCCUAAGGCGAGGCCGAAAGGCGUAGUCGAUGGGAAACAGGUUAAUAUUCCUGUACUCGGUGUUACUGCGAAGGGGGGACGGAGAAGGCUAUGUUGGCCGGGCGACGGUUGUCCCGGUUUAAGCAUGUAGGCGGAUGUUCCAGGUAAAUCCGGAACGUUACUAACGCUGAGGUGUGAUGACGAGGCACUACGGUGCUGAAGUGACAAAUGCCCUGCUUCCAGGAAAAGCCUCUAAGCAUCAGGUAACAUCAAAUCGUACCCCAAACCGACACAGGUGGUCAGGUAGAGAAUACCAAGGCGCUUGAGAGAACUCGGGUGAAGGAACUAGGCAAAAUGGUGCCGUAACUUCGGGAGAAGGCACGCUGAUAUGUAGGUGAAGUGGUUUACCCAUGGAGCUGAAAUCAGUCGAAGAUACCAGCUGGCUGCAACUGUUUAUUAAAAACACAGCACUGUGCAAACACGAAAGUGGACGUAUACGGUGUGACGCCUGCCCGGUGCCGGAAGGUUAAUUGAUGGGGUUAUCCGUAAGGAGAAGCUCUUGAUCGAAGCCCCGGUAAACGGCGGCCGUAACUAUAACGGUCCUAAGGUAGCGAAAUUCCUUGUCGGGUAAGUUCCGACCUGCACGAAUGGCGUAAUGAUGGCCAGGCUGUCUCCACCCGAGACUCAGUGAAAUUGAACUCGCUGUGAAGAUGCAGUGUACCCGCGGCAAGACGGAAAGACCCCGUGAACCUUUACUAUAGCUUGACACUGAACACUGGUCCUUGAUGUGUAGGAUAGGUGGGAGGCUUUGAAGUGUGGACGCCAGUCUGCAUGGAGCCAUCCUUGAAAUACCACCCUUUAAUGGCUGGUGUUCUAACGUGGGCCCGUUAUCCGGGUUGCGGACAGUGUCUGGUGGGUAGUUUGACUGGGGCGGUCUCCUCCUAAAGAGUAACGGAGGAGCACGAAGGUCAGCUAAUCCUGGUCGGACAUCAGGAGGUUAGUGCAAUGGCAUAAGCUGGCUUGACUGCGAGCGUGACGGCGCGAGCAGGUGCGAAAGCAGGUCAUAGUGAUCCGGUGGUUCUGAAUGGAAGGGCCAUCGCUCAACGGAUAAAAGGUACUCCGGGGAUAACAGGCUGAUACCGCCCAAGAGUUCAUAUCGACGGCGGUGUUUGGCACCUCGAUGUCGGCUCAUCACAUCCUGGGGCUGAAGUAGGUCCCAAGGGUAUGGCUGUUCGCCAUUUAAAGUGGUACGCGAGCUGGGUUUAGAACGUCGUGAGACAGUUCGGUCCCUAUCUGCCGUGGGCGCUGGAGAAUUGAGGGGGGCUGCUCCUAGUACGAGAGGACCGGAGUGGACGCAUCACUGGUGUUCGGGUUGUCAUGCCAAUGGCAUUGCCCGGUAGCUAAAUGCGGAAGAGAUAAGUGCUGAAAGCAUCUAAGCACGAAACUUGCCCCGAGAUGAGUUCUCCCUGACUCCUUGAGAGUCCUGAAGGAACGUUGAAGACGACGACGUUGAUAGGCCGGGUGUGUAAGCGCAGCGAUGCGUUGAGCUAACCGGUACUAAUGAACCGUGAGGCUUAACCUUACAACGCCGAAG